UCUUGUUACUGGUCUCUGAAAGCAUUUCGAGGAAGCCUUUUCCAGCUGUAAAGCAAGGUCUUCAUUGUAGCCUGCAGUACAGCUCCAGCAUUGUCUCUGGAAGUUUGGGCAACCUUCUCUGAGCAGGAAAACAGAAAUGGCUGGGUGCCCUGGCUCCAUCUACUCUUUGGGCUGAGCAUCCUCCUCCUACUCAUGCUGCAAAAUUUUUUUGGCAUCCUCCUGCUGUUGUGGUCAAGUCCAGUUUAUUGCUGAUGUGGUGAUUAGCCUGGAAAAAAAAUAUAACAAACAAAUGUAUCACAUUAAUGUCACCCUCUAAAGCAUUCGUCAAUAAACAAUGAAAAUGGUGCAGUUGACUACAAAAGUGGGAUGGUUCCAGGUAUGUUAAUAUGGCAGUAGACAACAUUUCUAUGCUGGUGUAUGUCUA